UAGGGAAUCUUCCGCAAUGGGCGAAAGCCUGACGGAGCAACGCCGCGUGAGUGAUGAAGGUCUUCGGAUCGUAAAACUCUGUUAUUAGGGAAGAACAAAUGUGUAAGUAACUAUGCACGUCUUGACGGUACCUAAUCAGAAAGCCACGGCUAACUACGUGCCAGCAGCCGCGGUAAUACGUAGGUGGCAAGCGUUAUCCGGAAUUAUUGGGCGUAAAGCGCGCGUAGGCGGUUUUUUGAGUCUGAUGUGAAAGCCCACGGCUCAACCGUGGAGGGUCAUUGGAAACUGGAAAACUUGAGUGCAGAAGAGGAAAGUGGAAUUCCAUGUGUAGCGGUGGAAUGCGCAGAGAUAUGGAGGAACACCAGUGGCGAAGGCGACUUUCUGGUCUGUAACUGACGCUGAUGUGCGAAAGCGUGGGGAUCAAACAGG
rnacentral:rRNA from 1 species